rnacentral:tRNA from 1 species
GGAUUGUAGCUCAGAGGUAGAGUGCUUGCCUAGCAUGCAUGAGGCACUGGAUUCAAUCCUCAGCACCA